CGUUGAGAAAACUACAUAUGAAGAAACAACCUAUGGAGAGAGUGAAAAAACUAGCACCUAUGGUGAGAAAACUAGUUAUGGUGAUGAUACAUAUGGCGAAAAAACUACCACAUUCGGAGAUGACAACAAAUAUGGUGAGAAAACUAGUUAUGGUAAGGGAGAUGACAACAAGUAUGGUGAGAAAACUAGUUAUGGUGAUGAUACAUAUGGCGAAAAAACUACCACAUUCGGAGAUGACAACAAAUAUGGUGAGAAAACUAGUUAUGGUAAGGGAGAUGACAACAAGUAUGGUGAGAAAACUAGUUAUGGUGAUGAUACAUAUGGCGAAAAAACUACCACAUUCGGAGAUGACAACAAAUAUGGUGAGAAAACUAGUUAUGGUGAGGGAGAUGACAACAAGUAUGGAGAGAAAACUAGUUAUGGAGAUAGCGGAUACGGAGAGAAACCUAGUUAUGGUGGGGGAGAUGACAACAAAUAUGGUGAGAAAACUAGUUAUGGUAAUGAGGAAGGUGGCUAUGGUGGAGGAGUUGGUGAGACUACUAAUUAUGAAGAGAAUGAAAGUGAAACCAAAACUUCU
rnacentral:lncRNA from 1 species